UACGGAGGGUGCAAGCGUUACUCGGAAUCACUGGGCGUAAAGGGCGCGUAGGCGGCCUAGCAAGUCUGGUGUGAAAGCCCAGGGCUUAACCCUGGAAGGGCACUGGAAACUGUUAGGCUUGAGUUCCGGAGAGGAGGGGGGAAGUCCCGGUGUAGCGGUGAAAUGCGUAUAUAUCGGGAGGAAUACCGGUGGCGAAGGCGCCCCUCUGGACGGAAACUGACGCUGAGGCGCGAAAGCGUGGGGAGCAAACAGG
rnacentral:rRNA from 1 species